UGUCUAUAGGUCCUGAUAUAAUGCUGUGUUCUCUCCAGGUGUCUAUAGGUCCUGAUAUAAUGCUGUGUUCUCUCCAGGUGUCUAUAGGUCCUGAUAUAAUGUUGUGUUCUCUCCAGGUGUCUAUAGGUCCUGAUAUAAUGCUGUGUUCUCUCCAGGUGUCUAUAGGUCCUGAUAUAAUGCUGUGUUCUCUCCAGGUGUCUAUAGGUCCUGAUAUAAUGUUGUGUUCUCUCCAGGUGUCUAUAGGUCCUGAUAUAAUGUUGUGUUCUCUCCAGGUGUCUAUAGGUCCUGAUAUAAUGUUGUGUUCUCUCCAGGUGUCUAUAGGUCCUGAUAUAAUGUUGUGUUCUCUCCAGGUGUCUAUAGGUCCUGAUAUAAUGUUGUGUUCU